GCGGGGGUGCCGGAGUGGUCAAACGGGCCAGGUUGAGGGCCUGGUAGCCUUGUGCUUGCGCGUGUUCGAACCACGUCCCCCGCA
rnacentral:tRNA from 1 species